rnacentral:rRNA from 1 species
UGCAGUCGAACGCUUCUUUUCCACCGGAGCUUGCUCCACCGGAAAAAGAGGAGUGGCGAACGGGUGAGUAACACGUGGGUAACCUGCCCAUCAGAAGGGGAUAACACUUGGAAACAGGUGCUAAUACCGUAUAACAAUCAAAACCGCAUNGUUUUGAUUUGAAAGGCGCUUUCGGGUGUCGCUGAUGGAUGGACCCGCGGUGCAUUAGCUAGUUGGUGAGGUAACGGCUCACCAAGGCCACGAUGCAUAGCCGACCUGAGAGGGUGAUCGGCCACAUUGGGACUGAGACACGGCCCAAACUCCUACGGGAGGCAGCAGUAGGGAAUCUUCGGCAAUGGACGAAAGUCUGACCGAGCAACGCCGCGUGAGUGAAGAAGGUUUUCGGAUCGUAAAACUCUGUUGUUAGAGAAGAACAAGGAUGAGAGUAACUGUUCAUCCCUUGACGGUAUCUAACCAGAAAGCCACGGCUAACUACGUGCCAGCAGCCGCGGUAAUACGUAGGUGGCAAGCGUUGUCCGGAUUUAUUGGGCGUAAAGCGAGCGCAGGCGGUUUCUUAAGUCUGAUGUGAAAGCCCCCGGCUCAACCGGGGAGGGUCAUUGGAAACUGGGAGACUUGAGUGCAGAAGAGGAGAGUGGAAUUCCAUGUGUAGCGGUGAAAUGCGUAGAUAUAUGGAGGAACACCAGUGGCGAAGGCGGCUCUCUGGUCUGUAACUGACGCUGAGGCUCGAAAGCGUGGGGAGCAAACAGGAUUNNAUACCCUGGUAGUCCACGCCGUAAACGAUGAGUGCUAAGUGUUGGAGGGUUUCCGCCCUUCAGUGCUGCAGCUAACGCAUUAA